UACGGGGGGGGUAAGCGUUGUUCGGAAUUACUGGGCGUAAAGGGCUCGUAGGCGGCCAACUAAGUCAGACGUGAAAUCCCUCAGCUUAACUGGGGAACUGCGUCUGAUACUGGAUGGCUUGGAUUUGGGAGAGGGAUGCGGAAUUCCAGGUGUAGCGGUGAAAUGCGUAGAUAUCUGGAAGAACACCGGUGGCGAAGGCGGUGGUCUGGGCCGUUACUGACGCUGAGGAGCGAAAGCCAGGGGAGCGAACGGG
rnacentral:rRNA from 1 species